rnacentral:rRNA from 1 species
UACGGAGGGGGUUAGCGUUGUUCGGAAUUACUGGGCGUAAAGCGCGCGUAGGCGGAUUAGUAAGUUGGGGGUGAAAUCCCAGGGCUCAACCCUGGAACUGCCUCCAAAACUACUAGUCUUGAGUUCGAGAGAGGUGAGUGGAAUUCCGAGUGUAGAGGUGAAAUUCGUAGAUAUUCGGAGGAACACCAGUGGCGAAGGCGGCUCACUGGCUCGAUACUGACGCUGAGGUGCGAAAGCGUGGGGAGCAAACAGG